UGUAUCUUCAGGAGUAAAUAAUGGCUAUAGAAUUAAAAACACGUCCUCGUCGUGCAGAGUGGUAACAUGUGCCUUCAUAUAUCCUAGCUUGGGUACACGGGCUAGAUCCAACCCCUUGGGCGGAUGGUGGCAUAUGGCGAACCAGGAGGGG
rnacentral:ribozyme from 1 species